CGGAUUGUAGUCUGCAACCCGACUACAUGAAGCUGGAAUCGCUAGUAAUCGCGGAUCAGAAUGCCGCGGUGAAUACGUUCCCGGGUCUUGUACACACCGCCCGUCACACCAUGGGAGUCGGAAAUGCCCGAAGUCGGUGACCGAACCGAAAGGAAGGAGCCGCCGAAGGCAGGUCUGGUGACUGGGGUGAAGUCGUAACAAGGUAUC
rnacentral:rRNA from 1 species